CAAAUUAUAUUUCAGUUACAAAUUAUCAAAAUUUAAGGUCACGAUUUAAUACUAUGUCAUAGAUAAUCAAAUAAGUGAUCACAUACAUCAAAUAACCAAAUAAGUGGUCACAUGCAUCAAAUAGUAUGUCACACACCACGCCACCAACACUACCACUAUCGCCAAUGAACUUGUGAUCACCAUCACCAUGCAAUCAUCGCCAGCACCACAAAACCACCACCACCACCACCGCCGCCAUCUCUCUCAUCAUCACCAUCACCAUCACCAACCACCAACACCACCAUCGACCGCCACCACCACCUUCAACACAUCCACCUACACCACCACAAAAAAUUGCCGCCAGAUCCAUAUCGCCACCACCAUUACCUCAUCAUUAUCGACAGCAGCUCCACCAUCACAAACAUCACUACUAUCACCAUUUGCAAUCACCAAUAAAAACCACCAAAAUUUCGACAGGCCAGAUAGACUCGAAAGCCAUCCCCAAAAAUCUGAAACGAUGACUAAAUCGCUCACAUCAACAGAGUAGAUCCCUCACAUGGCCGACUACAAGGGCACCGCACUGCAGCUACUAUGCUCGACUCUCACAUCUCCGACGGGGGCGCUCCUCAACGGUGAUGGUUUGAAAAAAAGGGUAGAGAGAGAGAGAGAGAAGAUAUGAAGAGAAGAGAAGGAGAGAACUGCAGCUUUACAUCAAAUGUGGCCUUGUAGUGAUGCUAGGAGGUGUCUUCGGCGUUGGGCACUCCUCAACGGCGACGACAGAGGGAGAGGGUAGAGAGGGAGAGAGAGAGAGAGAGAGAGGAUAUGAAGA
rnacentral:lncRNA from 1 species